UACGUAGGGGGCUAGCGUUGUCCGGAAUCAUUGGGCGUAAAGAGCGCGUAGGCGGUCCGGUAAGUCCGCUGUGAAAGUCGGGGGCUCAACCCUCGAAUGCCGGUGGAUACUGUCGGGCUAGAGUGCGGAAGAGGCGAGUGGAAUUCCUGGUGUAGCGGUGAAAUGCGCAGAUAUCAGGAGGAACACCUAUUGCGAAGGCAGCUCGCUGGGACGUAACUGACGCUGAGACGCGAAAGCGUGGGGAGCGAACAGG
rnacentral:rRNA from 1 species